CCUACGGGGGGCAGCAGUGGGGAUAUUGCACAAUGGGCGGAAGCCUGAUGCAGCCAUGCCGCGUGUAUGAAGAAGGCCUUCGGGUUGUAAAGUACUUUCAGCAGUGAGGAAGGGGGCGUUGUUAAUACCGACGUUUUUUGACGUUAACUGCAGAAGAAGCACCGGCUAACUCCGUGCCAGCAGCCGCGGUAAUACGGAGGGUGCGAGCGUUAAUCGGAAUUACUGGGCGUAAAGCGCAUGCAGGUGGAGAGACAAGUCAGAUGUGAAAGCCCAGGGCUUAACCUUGGAAUAGCAUUUGAAACUGUUUAUCUAGAGUACUGUAGAGGGGGGUAGAAUUUCAGGUGUAGCGGUGAAAUGCGUAGAGAUCUGAAGGAAUACCGGUGGCGAAGGCGGCCCUCUGGACAGAUACUGACACUCAGAUGCGAAAGCGUGGGGAGCAAACAGGAUUAGAUACCCUGGUAGUCCACGCUGUAAACGAUGUCUACUUGGAGGUUGUUGUCAUGAAUGAUGGCUUUCGAAGCUAACGCGUUAAGUAGACCGCCUGGGGAGUACGGUCGCAAGAUUAAAACUCAAAUGAAUUGACGGGGGCCCGCACAAGCGGUGGAGCAUGUGGUUUAAUUCGAUGCAACGCGAAGAACCUUACCUACUCUUGACAUCCAGAGAAGCCUGAAGAGAUUUGGGCGUGCCUUCGGGAGCUUUGAGACAGGUGCUGCAUGGCUGUCGUCAGCUCGUGUUGUGAAAUGUUGGGUUAAGUCCCGCAACGAGCGCAACCCUUAUCCUUGUUUGCCAGCACGUAGAGGUGGGAACUCCAAGGAGACUGCCGGUGAUAAACCGGAGGAAGGUGGGGACGACGUCAAGUCAUCAUGGCCCUUACGAGUAGGGCUACACACGUGCUACAAUGGCGUAUACAGAGGGAAGCGAACUUGCGAGAGAAAGCGGAUCCCAUAAAGUGCGUCGUAGUCCGGAUUGGAGUCUGCAACUCGACUCCAUGAAGUCGGAAUCGCUAGUAAUCGUGGAUCAGAAUGCCGCGGUGAAUACGUUCCCGGGCCUUGCACACACCGCCCGUC
rnacentral:rRNA from 1 species